CAGAGGUUACUGCUAUCGAGAUUCGACUAAGCCAUGCGAGUUGAAUGUUCUUCGUGAACAUGGCGGACUGCUCAGUAACACGUGGACAACCUACCCUUUGGGUCCGGCAUAAUCCUGGGAAACUGGGAAUAAUUCCGGAUAGGUCACCGAUGCUGGAAUGCGCGGUGGCCGAAAGCUCCGGCGCCCGAGGAUGGGUCUGCGGCCUAUCAGGGUUGUAGUGGGUGUAACGUACCUACUAGCCUACGACGGGUACGGGUUGUGAGAGCAAGAGCCCGGAGAUGGAUUCUGAGACACGAAUCCAGGCCCUACGGGGUGCUGCAGGCGCGAUAACUCUACAAUGCGGGUAACCGUGAUAAGGUGAUAGAGAAAGCCAGCAAAUAAUGUUGGCUGUCCAGAUGAUAAAAAAGCAUCUGUUAGCAAGGGCCGGGCAAGACCGGUGCCACCCGCCGCGGUAACACCGGCGGCCCGAGCCAGGCCCCUAUUAUUGGGUAUCAAGGGUAAGUAUCCGCCCAGGUAAGUCCCUUGGGAAAUCGGGCAGGUCAGAUGUCAGGGAUAUAGGGGAUACUAUUUGGCUUGGGACCGGGAGAGGUGAGAGGUACCUUGGGGGUAGGGGCGACAUAAUGGUUCCUCGAGGGACCCCCUCUGGCGAAGCAGUCUCACCAGAAAAGUUUUGACGGUAAGGGGUGAAAACUCGGGGCGUGAGCCGGAUUGGAUGCCCGGGUAGCAGUAGCCAAAAAUGAUGCGAAUUAGGGAUCAGGCGCGAUGCGACCAUGAUCCGGCAGUAGCGGGGCCGUCAACCCCACCGCCUCCGAAGUAUGGCCGCAAGGCAAGCAGUAAAAGUAUUG
rnacentral:rRNA from 1 species